UCUUUCUUCUUUUCUUAAGUUUUUCAUCAGGAACAAAUGGUGAUCGAGUGAAAUAAACAAGUGAGGUUUCUGCUCAACUAUUAGUAUUCAGGGCUUAGUAGAGAUUUUGGGACAUACAGGUUGAAAACAAGGAGUACCAUUUGUUGAAUACAAGCAAUUGACAGGUGAAUACAAGGAACUGAGAGUUAAAUUGAUAGCUGGGAACAAGGAUUUUGUUAGAAGAGAUCGUCAAGAUGUUAACGAGAAAAUAUAUGAAGAACCCAGUUAUGAUAUUUGGAUACGAACUAUGGUGAUUGUAGAAGUCUAAUUUCUUAUACUGAAGAAAUGGGUAUUGAAGUGUACAGUGAAUUUGUGAAUGCUACUUUGGGGAUGAAUGUUGUUUUGAUUGACUUGAGAAGGUACAUACUCAAGUUGCUGCCGUUGAUACAGUCAGGAAAGUGAUGGUGCUGCUGUUGUUUUUGAUGAAUGAUAGAAGUUUAAGUUGUGUGUUUGAAAGUUUUGGAGAAUGGGUUGCUCUAUGAUUUGAAUUGCAGGUUGGACUCACACGACAGGAAAAAUGGUUUGUGUUUGUGUGUGUGAAAGUUUGGGGAAAUGGGUUUGUGUCUGAUUUGAAAUUGCAUGCUACUAUGGUCGGUGUGGUUAUGCUUGAGAUUCCAAGAGUUUGGGGUGAAGUAUGGCUGGAAAGUUGAAGAGAAGCUAGCUUGUUGCAUCUAUCAUCCACUGCACGGGUACUUCUUGCACUCUUGCAAAAACACCACAGCUAGCAAAACCCCAACACAACAACACCACUACUGCCAGUUGCAAGGUUGCAUCAUCACCUGUCAGCCUACAUCAACACCACCAUUAUCUUGCCAUCAACAGAUGUUUGUCAUCCACCAUCUAAAACCACCAUCCACCACCAUUAUUUUUCCGAAACCAGUUUGCAUCUCCAUUAGCAUACCACCUCCACAUCCAUACCAAUUACCACCAUUCCAGAACAUACCCCCACCACCAGUUCACAUCAUUUUCAUAACUUUAUAAACGUUCACAUCGGCAUCAAUAUAACGAGCAGCUGGCCAGUUCGCAACUUCAACAACAGCAAGUACAUCACUAGUCCACCUGCAGCUUAAUUUGCUUGCGGCAAACUCCAGCUGGUAGCCAAGCCACGCCAUCAGCCGCCAUGUGUAGGAGUUGGUACACGUCAUCAUCCGCCAUGUGUAGGAGUUGGUACACGUCAUCAUCCGCCAUGUGUAGGAGUUGGUACACGUCAUCAUCCGCCACAUGUGAUAAUUGAACUAUGGUUAAUAAUAGCUUGAGUUAGAAGGAGGGUAUUUUGGAGAUAAGUAACACCAUUUUUUUCCAUAACUGUUAUGUCGGACGGAACAUGAUCAAUUUGUAAACCAACUAUAAAAGUGUGACCUUUUUGUAAACGAAUUAUAAAAAGUAGGACCAUUUUGUAAUUGGCCCAAAAAAAAAGGCUAGGAAUAUGGACAAGACAGAUAUUGGUAGAUCAGGACUGACAGGCACAUCACAGCGGCAUUGGUCGAGUCAUUGCAAGCUGACAUUUUAUGGUUUUUAAAUUCAUAUACCAGGAGACGUCACCACGGCUCGUUGGAAAACAAGGAUUACUCUAGACUUGCUUAAUGAGAGCUCGAGGCAUCUAAAGAUUUGCCUGCAACACAGUAAAA